AUUGAACGCUAGCGGCAUGCUUCAGACAUUGCAAGUCGAGCGGAAACGAUGGGAGCUUGCUCCCAGGCGUCGAGUGGCGGACGGGUGAGUAAUGCUUAGGAAUCUGCCCAAUAGUGGGGGACAACCAGGAGAAAUUCUGGCUAAUACCGCAUACGCACUACGGUGGAAAGCGGGGGAUCUUCGGACCUCGCGCUAUCAGAUGAGCCCGCGUCGGAUUAGCUAGUUGGUGGGGUAAAGGCUCACCAAGGCGACGAUCCGUAGCUGGUCUGAGAGGACGAUCAGCCACACUGGGACUGAGACACGGCCCAGACUCCUACGGGAGGCAGCAGUGGGGAAUAUUGGACAAUGGGGGCAACCCUGAUCCAGCAAUGCCGCGUGUGUGAAGAAGGCCUGCGGGUUGUAAAGCACUUUCAAUUGGGAAGAAAAGCAGACGGUUAAUACCUGUCCGUCUUGACGUUACCUUUACAAGAAGCACCGGCUAACUCCGUG
rnacentral:rRNA from 1 species